rnacentral:lncRNA from 1 species
GGUUUCAUAUUGUAUGCAUCCAACAUGAACAUCCUCGGCUGAGAAUAAACUGAACCUUGAAUCCACCUCUAACAUCCGUCUUAGAGGUUUACUAACUUGACCCAAUCGAUUCAACUUCCGCCACCGUUAUAGGUUCACGUUCCACUCACGCACCUAUAACCUUACGGUUUACCGUCCUAGGGUCUCAUAAGUCAUCCUAGACUCUCUCUUUACUUGCUCUUAGCUUGCUCUGAUACCACUUUAUCUGUCACGCCCCGUGACCGCUACCAAUUUGGCUCGGCCCGGGCGCGUCGAACAGACGCCAGACGGACAGCACCUCCUCUGUCCGCCCAAGGCUAACAACGAGAUUGUGUACAACAAGUUUCCAGGAAAAUAACUUGAAUACAUACACAAUCGAUAACGAAGCACACAAGUGCACUACAUCUAAGAGCAAGAAUCACAAGUAACAUACAAGUGAAAUAAAGAGAGAUACAUCUAGCUAUUACAUCUCAUUUAACCUUUACAUAUUGGUUUACAUUUUCAUCUUCCCAAAUAAAUAUAUAUUCUUCUCAUAAUACAAAAUGGCUCUCCAAAUACAUAAGUAACUUCCAAAUACAUCUACAUCUCUAUGUACACGAGGGUACUCUAAUGCAUAAGGAAAGCUACUAGCUACUAGGACGCUGUGCCCUUACCACGGUCCUCUGCCGGUACGCUCUCGUGUGUACCUGUACCCCAAAACCACACGGGGUGAGAACUAUAUAAAUAUAGUUCCCAGUGGGUUCGGCCGCCGACGCCGCCGGUUUUCCCACUAGGUCUAAGCUGGCACAGAUAGAUAGAUAGAAAGGUAGAUAGAAAUACAUUGCUACUAUAUCUACCAUGCCAUCAAAUGCAAAGAAUGCAUGGAACAUCAUCUAGCAAUAACCUACUAUCAUGCUAGUAUGCUUCAACAGUGUAAUAAAUACAACUACAACAUAGUUAUGCAGUCUACUAUGUCUAAUCAUGGCAUGAAUGCAAUCCACUUAUGCUAUUCAUGUUACAACCCAAUCGAUUAGGCCAACUUGCCUAAGAUCUCAAAUCUCAAAGGUCCUAAACAAAGAGCUACCCCGCUCCUUGCCCGACUCAAUCUCGCUCUACUAAGUACGAGCUGCUACAUAGUAAUGGAAUAUACACAUGCUACUAUGCCUCUGUAAUCAUGGAAUGCAUGAACAUAGCAAUGAUAUUCUACUAAUCAUGAUACUAUGCUUCAACAACAAUAGAAAUGAGCUACUACAUAGUGAUGUAUCUACAACAUGCUACUAUGUCUCAAUGUCAACUCAAGGUAUGAAUGCAAAUCUGCUAUGCCAUUCAUAUUCUUUACCCAAUCUGCUUGGAAAUGAGCUACUACAUAGUGAUGUAUCUGCACAUGCUACUAUGCCUCAAUAAUCCGAAUGAACGAGCUACUACAUAGUGCGUCGUGCAACUAUGCCUCGAUAGUAUCCAAUCUCAUGGCUAACCUGAAGGUUGCCACCCCGGGGUCAACCCCGACUCACUCUCAAUCUCAUAGGUGAGGAGAAUCUGCGCUCGCACACCGAGACCGUCUGCGGGACAACUACGUCUGCCCCUAGUGAAGUACUCCGGAGACUCGUGCUUCGGUGGAGCGACCACCGACAAGCAAAAACAGACUAGUGAGUAUGAUCCAAUCCUCACAAGAGGAUACCCUAUCUACCAGGGUCAAUGUGCCUCUGCUGCACAAUACCAAAUGCAUAAUCAAUGCCUCAAAUGCACUAAUGCCAAAUGCAUAAUGUCUACAACAUGACAAUCGGGAAAAUCUACUAUCCCUAGGUUCAAAUGCCAUAGUGUUCCACUACACUAGAUUUGAUACCACUUGUUUAUGUCAUGAUGUUAUAUGUGUCUUA